GGCUGGAGGACUGUGAUGCAUUCUUUCCAAGCACAUAUCUGACUGCUGCAUGUGGAAAUGAAAACUUUCUGAGUCUUCUAGCU
ensembl:snoRNA small nucleolar RNA SNORD121A